AACGUUCGUUUCUGCCACAUCCACCAUGCGACUCUCCACCACUCUCAUUGCUGCUCUCACCACCCUGGCUCUUGCUGCUCCUGCCCCUGCCCCUGCCCCGGUCAACGCCAUCGUCAACGGCGACAAGCUCAAGAACAUCGAGCACCUUGGAAAGCGAGACCUCAAGAAGAUCGCCCAGGAGAAGGUGAUUGUCAACGGCGACCAGCUGACCAAGGAGGCCAACUAAUUGUGUCCGACAAGUGACUGAAUGUCAAAGAUACGACAUGGUCAACCACAAACCAGCCUUGAGAACACUUUGCUCACUGUAUAUUUAAUCAAUUAAUAAUGACUACAACAUGUUGCCGUUGAUGAC
rnacentral:misc_RNA from 1 species